CCUACGGGAGGCAGCAGUGAGGAAUAUUGGUCAAUGGACGAGAGUCUGAACCAGCCAAGUAGCGUGAAGGAUGACUGCCCUAUGGGUUGUAAACUUCUUUUAUAUGGGAAUAAAAUGUUCCACGUGUGGGAUUUUGUAUGUACCAUAUGAAUAAGGAUCGGCUAACUCCGUGCCAGCAGCCGCGGUACUACGGAGGAUCCGAGCGUUAUCCGGAUUUAUUGGGUUUAAAGGGAGCGUAGGUGGAUUGUUAAGUCAGUUGUGAAAGGUUGCGGCUCAACCGUAAAAUUGCAGUUGAAACUGGCAGUCUUGAGUACAGGAGAGGUGGGCGGAAUUCGUGGUGUAGCGGUGAAAUGCUUAGAUAUCACGAAGAACUCCGAUGGCGAAGGCAGCUCACUGGACUGCAACUGACACUGAGGCGCGAAAGUGUGGGUAUCAAACAGGAUUAGAUACCCUAGUAGUC
rnacentral:rRNA from 1 species